UCCCUGGUGGCUCAGUUGGUAAAGUGUCUGUCUGCAAUGUGGGAGACCUGGGUUCGAUCCCUGGGUAGGGAA
rnacentral:tRNA from 1 species